GACGAACGCUGGCGGCGUGCCUAAUACAUGCAAGUCGAGCGCAGGAAGCCGUCUGAACCCUUCGGGGGGACGACGGUGGAAUGAGCGGCGGACGGGUGAGUAACACGUAAAGAACCUGCCCAUAGGUCUGGGAUAACCACGAGAAAUCGGGGCUAAUACCGGAUGUGUCAUCGGACCGCAUGGUCCGCUGAUGAAAGGCGCUCCGGCGUCGCCCAUGGAUGGCUUUGCGGUGCAUUAGCUAGUUGGUGGGGUAACGGCCCACCAAGGCGACGAGGCCUAGCCGACCUGAGAGGGUGAUCGGCCACACUGGGACUGAGGCACGGCCCAGACUCCUACGGGGGGCAGCAGUAGGGAAUCUUCCACAAUGGACGAAAGUCUGAUGGAGCAACGCCGCGUGAACGAUGAAGGCUUUCGGGUCGUAAAGUUCUGUUGUAAGGGAAGAACAAGUGCCGCAGGCAAUGGCGGCACCUUGACGGUACCUUGCGAGAAAGCCACGGCUAACUACGUGCCAGCCGCCGCGGUAA
rnacentral:rRNA from 1 species